CCCAGGUCAAAUAAACAACUUGUUGGGCACAGUUGUGUUUCUAUUAUGUUGAAGUCAAUUAUAAUCGUCGUUUUUUCCUGUUUGUUCCUCAUAAAGAUAAAUUCAAUAGGGUGUAAAUCAGUGAGUUAUAAAACUGAAGGUGGUCUGUUGGUUAAUAUUAUUGAUGACUGCGAUCCUAAAGACCCUACUUCUUGUGGGGAAGGCAAAUGCUGUUCAAAACAGACAAUGAUGUAUAUUCCUGAGUUUUUCGGGCCCAAACCAACUUACACUAUUAGCUGUCAGCCUCUGACGUCUGCAGGACGGGCGUGUUUUACUGACCCCAUUUCAACUGAGAUAUGUCCUUGUGCCAAUGGUUUGACUUGUUCUCCAGGUACCGUAUAUCCUAUGGGUACAUGUGUGAAAU